rnacentral:rRNA from 1 species
UACGUAGGGUGCGAGCGUUGUCCGGAAUCAUUGGGCGUAAAGAGCGUGUAGGCGGCCCGGUAAGUCCGCUGUGAAAGUCGGGGGCUCAACCCUCGAAUGCCGGUGGAUACUGUCGGGCUAGAGUGCGGAAGAGGCGAGUGGAAUUCCUGGUGUAGCGGUGAAAUGCGCAGAUAUCAGGAGGAACACCAAUUGCGAAGGCAGCUCGCUGGGACGUCACUGACGCUGAGACGCGAAAGCGUGGGGAGCAAACGGG